CUACGGUUCAUCCGGGUUAGGUAC
rnacentral:siRNA from 1 species